CACGAAACCCUAUAUAAGACUCAAAGUCGUCUCCUUCUUUCAUUGAAAUCUCCAUCACUGAGUUUCUUUCAAUAAGGCUGAAAAAUGAAUUCCGUACUCUCUUUAUUGGUUGUGUUAAGCGUCGCUGUGUGUGUCAGCGCUGGAAGUUACGGUGGGGGACAGUAUCUUAAUUAUCAACAAUAUGUCAGGCCAGCUUACACCCAAAUGCAGUACUACCAACCGGCAUACUUAAAAACAAGUUAUGUUCAGCCAUCUUACGUCGGAUAUGGUAACACCGGAAGUGGAUUGAAUCUUUUUAAUGGUUCUGAUGCUGGCUCCAUCAUUCCAAUUGUCAUCAUUUUCCUCCUUUUGGCCUUCUUUGCUCCUCUGCUGAUUGGAUCCCUUGCCUCAAGUAACGAAGCUUUGUGGGAUUCAGUGGACAGCGUUGACUAUAAGAAAUAAAGAAUUAAUUAGGAUUGUAUACGGAAGACACACGAGUUUGGGAGAAUUUAUUUUCCAUCUAUCCAUCGAAAUGGGAUAUUGAACCAAU